rnacentral:rRNA from 1 species
UACAGAGGGUGCGAGCGUUAAUCGGAAUUACUGGGCGUAAAGGGCGCGUAGGUGGUUAAUUAAGUCAGAUGUGAAAUCCCUGGGCUUAACCUAGGAAUUGCAUAUGAAACUGAUUGUCUAGAGUAUGGGAGAGGGAAGUGGAAUUUCCGGUGUAGCGGUGAAAUGCGUAGAUAUCGGAAGGAACACCAGUGGCGAAGGCGACUUCCUGGCCCAUUACUGACACUGAGGCGCGAAAGCGUGGGGAGCGAACAGG